rnacentral:rRNA from 1 species
AUCUGGGCGGCGGAAUUCAGGGCGACUGGGCGGCUUCGCGCUCGUCCGGUUGUCUGAUAUUUCCGUCGCCGUUGCGGACGUCGCGACCUGUUCGCCGUCGGUCCUUGCUCGGAGGAAUCGCGAUCGAGUUCGUUGCGGGGCGCGUUUCGGCGCGUCUCGCGGCGAAGGCGCGGCUCUCUGGCUGACGGCGGACAGUAAGCAACGGUGGCCGGCGCGGUGUCUCGCACUUCGCGUCGGUGCCGGUCAGCGACGAUUUCUUCGGGCCUCUUUCCGACCCGUCUUGAAACACGGACCAAGGAGUCUAACAUGCGCGCGAGUCGCGGGGUUUCGGGUGUGCCACGGUACACCCGUUACUUCCGAAACCCGUACGUUGAAGGCGUAAUGAAAGUGAACAGGGAAGAUGGCGUUCCGAGUCCACGAACCGUGAUCGAGUAUCGCGGCCGGACGCCCGCACUCCCGGGGCGUCUCAAUGGCUCGUCGCGGGCGCGGACGGUCGUUCUUCGGGGCGGCCGUCGGUCUGCGACGGACCGA